UAUGGGGGAGGGGAAGAGGUUAAGGGAGGAAGUUGAAAGGGAGAGGAGGGAUGGAGUAAGGAGUGAGGCUUUGGGAGAAGGUGACGGGGACGAAACUAACUCUGCACCGGCUCCUUUCCAGCCUAGGCUAGCUGGCCGGAGACCUAGCUGGCUGCUCUGGCUCAGGCUCAGCAAGUCAAGUUAAUAAAUGACCAUUAAGUGCCUACUAUGUGGCAGGCGCUGGGGGGAGGGGGUGAUAAAAGAAGGGCGAAAACCCAGUCUUUGCCCUCAAGGAGCUCACAGUGUAACGAGGGAGACCGCAUGCAAACAAGUAGGACAAACGAGAUAGGCACAGGACAAAUAAGGACUAACAAAAGGGAAGGGACUUCUUGUAGAAAGUGAGAUUUUGGAUGAGACUUGAAAGAAGAACCAGGAGACGGAAGUGAGCAGGGGCAAACGCUUCCCCCCAGCUCCUGCACGAACCCUGAGAAAGGGGCUUUCCUAGAGGUGGUGGUGAAGCCAGGGGAACCACUGGGAUUAUUUUUCCUACUUCAUCUGCCUCGAAUUACAGAAGAGGACCAUGACAUCAGGAAGCGCCGUCUGGGUCCGGUGGCCAGAUAUGGAUCAAGACGAUUGGAGAUGGCCCGAGGUAGAGAAGGAGACAAGCAGGAAAUAUAUCUAACCUGGCAUCUGAUUUAUAUUGCUGCCCUUGGAAGAGCUUGCCUUUGCUGGUGUCCUGUAAGACUGAAAUGUCCUUGCUAUGUAAUGAGAUGCCUAGAUUCAAGUUCCUUGAGCUUUACCUGAGGUUAGUAAAACUUUGAUAGAAGAUUGUGUCAGAAGUAGGUGGGGGCUGUUGUUUCUGCUGGACCAGAAGUUAGGAUUUCUUUUGAAGGCCGACUGUCAAAUUCCACAAGCUUUCUUUCAGCAAACAUCUUUAAGCUAUUUCUAGGCACAAGACACUCUGCUAGGCACCAGGGAUUUAAAGAUAAACAUUAAAUAAUUCCUGUACUCUAAAGAACAGAACAGGUAUACAGAUUAAUUAUGAUGCAGGGAGGGAAUCUGAGUUUCACCAAGGGAGACAGGGAAAGAUCAGACAGUGUGUUCUGGGAAAAUGUGAAGAAGAGAUGAAAGUGGAGGAGGACGUUGGAGAUCAGGGAAUACUUCAUGAAGGAAGUGGUACCUGAGCUGAGCCUUGAAAGAAAGAAGGAUUCUAAAAAGUACAGAUACUGGGAGUUCAUUCCAGGGAUGGGAGAUGGCUGGAAUUCAGGCAAGAAAUGUAAUGUGAGGGUCGGUAAAACAGCUAAUAGACUAGUGUGAUUGGACUGUGGAAUGAAGGAGAGUAAUAUGAAAUAAGGCUAGCAAGGUAGGUUGGCCUAAAGAAUCUGUAUGUUACACUAGAGACAACAAAAAGCCACCUAAGAUUUGUGAGUAGGCUAGCAACAUGGUCAGAUAUGUAUGUGCCUUAGGAAGAUUGUUUAGGCAGCUAUGGGAAGGGUGGGUUGGAGAGGGGAAGAGACUGGAGACAAGGAGACCAAUUAGAAGGCUGGUUCUGUGGUCCAAGGGAGAGCUGAUGAAGAACUGAAGGAAGGAGGUGGCUGUGGGAGUGGAGAGAAGGGGGAUGAAUGCAAGUGAUGCUUCGGCCUUGGCCAUUGAUUGGAUGGAGGGGUGGUGGUAAGGAGAGGGAAGAGCCAGAAGUAAAAUAAGCGGUAGCAAAUCUGGCAUCCUCCCAGUCAUGCCCUGGAGAGAAAGAUGAACAUUUGAAACACGGAAGGGUGUAGGGGGCAAAGUGGUAAGUUUCAUUUUAGUCAUGUUGGGUUUGAGAUGCCAAUAGGACAUUCAGGUGGAGAUGUCCAGCAGGCAUUUAAAGUCCUGGUGCAGUCACUUAUGAGCUACGUGACCCAUGGCAAAUCACUGAUCCUUGGUCUGCCUCAGUUUCCUCGUCUAUAAAAUGGAAAGAAUAAUAGCACUGUAUCUUACAGGAUUGUUAUGAAGAUGAAAUGAGAUUAUAUUUAUAAAGCAUUUUUGAAGCCUUAAGCACUAUGUAUAAAUGAUGCCUAUAGUUCUAACUUCAGUUUCUUCAUCUAUAAAAUGCCACUCAUGCCACCUGCCUCUCAGAGUUGUGAGGAAAGGGCUUUGCCAACCUUAAAGCACUCUGCCACUGUGAGUUAUUAUUAUUGCAUAGAUUUGGUAAUACUCUGUGUUGAGGGCUUACACUGAUGGGUUUGAGGAUAUAGGUCAUGUCGGGAUGUUCCUGUUCCUGUCCAUUAUCUAAGAGCCGUCUAGGUCAGAACGUAGGCUCUCCGACCUCUUCCGGACGCUGUCUGUCCCUUGAGAGGAUGAAGGAUUUUUCAAUAAACCUUGAAAGAUAAUCGGGAAGUGAGGAGACGAUUCCGGGGGGAUACUCCCCCCAGUUACUAUUUCCAUGAGAAGAAUUAAUUGUUGAUACUUGGUUUUUUCCAUUCUUGAUUCUGUUCCCACGAAUGGGGUAUAAAAACCCUAACUCUGAGAUCAAUAAACGGAGCUUGUUUAUAACUUGC